rnacentral:rRNA from 1 species
UAAUACGAGAGGUGCUAGCGUUGUCCGGAAUCAUUGGGCGUAAAGGGUCCGUAGGCGGUUUGACAAGUCAAUUGUUAAAGACAUCGGCUUAACCGGUGGAAUGCAGUUGAAACUGUCAGAAUAGAGUUUAGGAGAGGAAAGUGGAAUUUCUGGUGUAGCGGUGACAUGCGUAGAUAUCAGAAGGAACACCAAUGGCGAAGGCAGCUUUCUGGCCUAAAACUGACGCUGAGGGACGAAAGCGUGGGGAGCGAACAGGAUUAGAUACCCUGGUAGUCCACGCUGUAAACGAUGAGUACUUGUUGUCGGGAGAUUCGACCCUCUCGGUAGCGGAGCUAACGCGUUAAGUACUCCGCCUGGGUACUACGACCGCAAGGUUG